GGGUCAGUAGGUUGGUCGUGCCACCGGUACGUACUGGUCUCACUGAUUCCUCCUUCCUGAAGAACCGUAAUGCCAUUAAUUUGGUGUUGCGGGGAAACAGGACUGUUACUUUGAAAAAAUUAGAGUGUUUAAACCAAGCUAACGCUUGAAUACAUUAGCAUGGAAUAAUGAAAUAGGACGAUCGAUCCUAUUUUGUUGGUUUCUAGGAUUGACGUA
rnacentral:rRNA from 1 species